GAGAUUUCUGCAGGUGAACUUGCAAAAGAUUCGAACUUACUUGAAUUAGUGGAUGCCGAUGUUUAUCGUGAAAUACAUCAAGUUGUAAAGUCUCUUCAAAGCCAUUCUUGUAGAGAAGCUUUAGCUUGGUGCUCUAUAAAUA